GGGUUUCGCUCUUUGAGCUCGACGCAUGCGCCGACGCAUCGGCGUCCUAUCACUACCAGGUUCCCACCUCCAUCACCUGUCGCCUUGCACGUGCGGGUCCAACCAGCAAGGGCACGAGAAGAAGACGAUGGUCGUCACUGUUGAUAUCCUGAAACUUUGACUAAACCCCGUAUUUGUUUCUUUGUGGUUACAUCCUUUAUUGAUAAAUGCUUCGACGUUAAGACAUUCGUCGAGGGAGCGAAACAGGUUUGGAAAGACAGAAGCAGGAUUUUCGUUAAGUUGAUAUCACUCCCUCUAUACUAUAGACUAUUGGGGUGUACGUCUGUCCCUGAAGGAGCAGCUCAGAGAUGACACUGCAUCACAGGGGCAGGUGACAAGAAACAGGACCCUGACUUGAACGUGAAGUCUGUCUGUCUGUGACCAGUGAUCAUUCUGAGCCUGCUCCACUUUGUUCUGAUUCAGCUGGUCUGCCAUUUUUCUUUUUGUGUGUGUGUCCUGUCUGGCAGUUCAACACUCCAGUAGGGCCAAGCACAGUUUUCGGCAUCAGCAGCUGCCACUAGAUACCACACACUGAAUCUACGGCUACUCUGGCACAUGCCACGCAUGUAAAAAACGGUCCAUGUAUCUGGUACAUGGGCUAUUUCAAGCUGUCAAUAAAAGUUCUACUGAAUAUGGCAGGAGGCAAGCACAUCUGCAACGGUGGAAGGUACUUCUGCGGAUGAGGAGACAGUGUCACUGGACUCCGCGAGGAUUUAGGCGGACACAGAGACUCUGCAGGCUGAAAUGCAAUCUGGAAACAUAAAUUCACAACAGUCAGAUGUCUCUACGCCACACAUCUUAAGAGAUAGAUACAGCUGACUGAACUGCAGGUCAGGGAGAAGAAGAGAACGCUGGAAGAAAUAAACCUUGAUGUGCAGAUAAAGAGCAAGACACUGAGGAAAAUGGAUUUGGAAAUCCAGAUAUGCAUCCCUUUAUCUAGAUAUAGAGAUGCAAGUGAUUUCAGUUUA